UCUGGGAUGGGGCGAUGGCGUUCAAGAAGACAUAUUUAAGAGUACUAUGUAAUUUUACGUGUGGGAAGAACCUUUUGUUUUUGUAAUUAGAACUACAGAAAGGGACAGAGCUGUUUAUGUCAUGAAAAGCAGGCCUGAGCAUUAGAAGACUGAGAAACACCUGGGAGGAUCUUGUUUCAACAGAGCUCAAAGCCGUGGCAAAAGGACGGAGCUCGAAUUGUGCAAUUAAACCCAGGCCCCCAGCAAAUGGAAAAUGCCAUCCACUGGCACAGAGACUUCAGUUGGGAGCCGAGGACUGAACUCAGACCACCAUUCUUUGUUCAACAUUUCUUCCUGAGGGGCCUGGAGGAAGUCACACCCACAGGCCAGAGCUCAACAUUCCUUUCUGCUGACCCCAGGCACCAGUCCAUGGCACUCCCUAUGCCUGCAGGAUACCACAUCAAAGCAGAGUUGGGGGAGCAUUUCAGGAGGUUCCUGUGAAAAACCUACAUGCACACACCCCCACGUGCAGCUGCAGACUGCUAUCUAUACACGAAGUUAUGCAUCGCAGAGUCGACUGCAAAAGGCUGGAGCCCACAC